AACUGUCAAUGAUGACAAAAAAUGGGAAUCUCUCUGAAACGAGUGAAGGACAACUUUUUACUGAUGCAGUG